UACGGAGGGUGCAAGCGUUAAUCGGAAUUACUGGGCGUAAAGCGCACGCAGGUGGCUGAGUCAGUCGAUUGUGAAAGCCCUGGGCUUAACCUGGGAACUGCAUUCGAGACUGCAUUGCUAGAGUAUGGGAGAGGGAAGUGGAAUUCCGGUGUAGCGGUGAAAUGCGUAGAUAUCGGAAGGAACAUCAGUGGCGAAAGCGACUUCCUGGACCAAUACUGACGCUCAUGUGCGAAAGCGUGGGAGCAAACAGG
rnacentral:rRNA from 1 species